ACAAAAGACACGCCGAGGGGCCCGCCGAGGGGCCGUCUGCCCUAGUCCGUCCCCGGCCCACACUCCCUCCCCGUCGGACGCAGGCGUUAAGUGAGCCCCCGAAGCCCAGCUUUGGGGUGCACAGCGGGGGGUGUGGGGGCGGGGAGGGCGGCGCGGGCUGCGGACCAGCGCCCGGCCUGCGGGGGGAGGGGCACCGCCCCCGCGCGCGCCCCCGAGGUUCCCGGCCCGUGUGGGGGCGGGGAGAAGGCCGGGACCGUACGGUCGCCGCGCCCCAGUUGAAAACGCGCCCAAGCGGGAAGCUAGCUGGCAAAGUGGAAGCCCCAGUCCCGCGCCCACUUUCGGACCGCGCGGCGCGCCAGGGGCGGGGGACCCGCGGGCCUCUUCCCGCCUUCGCUCCCCGCCGAGCGCGGACCGGUCCGGAGGCUCGGGCCAAGUCGCCUGAGGACAAGUCGGUCGCAGACUCUAGCCCCGGGAGAGGAGGGGCAGCCUGCGGGGCAGUGCGGAGACUGUCAGCGCGUCGCAGGUGGUGGCACCGGGGCCGAGGGACAGGGCUCGCCCUCUUCCUAGGCCGCGGUUCUUGGUGCAAGAUGGCUGUUAUUUUGUAAGCCUCUGAGACAAUGUGCAACACAGCUGUAGCAGUCUAAGGCAGAGUAGGCCUUUCCACCCCUUCGCUGUUUGGAGGAGCGCUGCAGAAAUCUCGUGACAUAAGAGUCUAAUGUCAGACACAGGAGGCUGAAACGGCAGGUAGAAGGAAAAGCUGUUUCCCGCUUUCCUUCUGCCCAGUAGUUUGGGCAACAGACUGCAUAGCUCAAGUUCUCAUUAAGUGACCCACAAACAUCUGAACCGUCCCCAGAUGGUAUUGACCAGGCUACACAACUCUGGGUGAAGGCUUUCGGUAGAAGAGUCACAAAGGUCCCGUAGGGUACUGAUAAAGGACAGUAGCAUACAUGUAAUCUGAAGACCUCUCAAAGCAGUCUUAUCAUGAACAUUAUCCUGAAACAGAUAUGUGGAAAUCAGAUAUGAGAGAAGAAAUGGAUUUGGCCAAGGUCACUGAAAUGAGGAACAGACCCUAGAGGGAAAAAAAACAACAACCCAGGCCUCCUGUUUCAUUAUUAUUUAAUGAGUGUUAAGUGUUGAUGAACACAUGCAAUCUGCAAUACUACCCUAAAUGCACAUAUGCAAAAAACCCUCCACAGAGCUGCCAGUGAAAAAUUCCUAUAAUUUGAGCCAAGAAGCAUUUUUUCCCCUCUUGCUUGUUUGUGUUUUGUUUUCAGGAAACUAAAAUAUUUGUUGCUGGAUUUAUCCAAGAAGGCUGUUACAUAUCAAUUGAAUCAGUCAUAUCUUCAAGAAAUGUUAGCUUGUCAUAGAUAGUACUAUCUAUGUAUGCUAGGUUUCCUCAUACAUUCUUCCUGGCUUUAAGCAGAUGUUUCUAAGGGAUGGAAGGACCUUGUCUGGUGAACUACUUCGUGUGGAUUGUGGGUUCUGUGAAACGACUGAAGUUGCCCAUCUCUGACAUGGAAAUAGUAGUUACUUGUGUGAUGGUAGUCCGCAAGCUCUUUCUGGAAAUAUGACUGGUUAUCCUUUUAGUAAUCAGGAAGUUUCCAGAUUUGCAAUAUAUAUAUAUAUGGCAUGCCAAUUCUGCUCCGAACAAUUUUUGGAAGACUGGGAGUGCUGCAGUGAACAGCACCAGUACCGGUCCAGCCCUGAUUGAGUCCUUCUCUAGAAGCAUCGCCUUGCACAGGGAAGCUGCACUUGGCCAGGGGACAGGAUGCUUUGGAGCCCCGAGGAUGGCAAAAGACUGUAGCUAAUAGAAACAGGCUUUAUUUCCAAUUCAUGGCGCCGCUAGGAGAGCUGCUCCUGGGGGGGAGAAAAAGCCUUUUUCUUUUCAAGGAUUCUUAAGGGGCACCAGAGGUUAGUCUUUUGUUGACUUAGAGUCUCCCCGUGUAGCUCUUGGUUUAGCCUGGAACUGACAUGUAGACAUGUAGACCAGCGGGCUGGCCCCCACCUCCCAGGGAUCUGCCUGCUUUCUAAGUGCUGGGAUUAAAGGCACAUGCCAACAGCCCCAGAGGACAGACUCCACUCCUGGAGCUCAGCCACCCCUCAACAUUUGGAGUUUAUCGUAAUGGAAAGAGGGGAGCAAGAGCUUAAAAUCAGGUUAAAAUCUUUGCCUAGAAUAAGAUAAUUAUGGCCGCUAAUUAGGAUUUGCUUAUAAGUGAAAGGAUAGGAUAAAUUGGCAAAGCUAGAUGUGAUGGUGCAUGCCUAUAAUCCUAGCAGUUCAGAAUCAGACCCGGGAGGACCUUUGGGAGUAGGAGGUUAGCCUGCUCUCCGGACGGUGUCCCAAACCUGUUAAGUCUACAUGGGAAGACCAUAUCAAAAAGUCAAAAACAAUGCCAGUCAUUUCAUUCUUCUUGCUCACUAAGCACAAAAAACUGCUGCCUGUUGGAGAUGUUUCUGAGCACUUACCACCCUUUUCUUUGAGGUGUUGAUUUAAAUCUGUUGUUUGUUUAUGGUCUGUUUCCUGCCAGUAAGAAUAUAAACUCUAGGAAUACUGUUGCCUGUUUCUUCUACUGAAGCAUUGUCCCGCUGCAUACAUACUAACACAUUGGGUUGGAGUCCUUUUUCUUUCUUUUCUUUCUUUGUUUUUGAGACAAGGUUUCUCUGUGUAGCCCUGGUUGUCCUGGAACUCACUCUGUAGACCAGGCUGGCCUCAAACUCAGAAAUCUGCCUGCCUCUGCCUCCGAGUGCUGGGAUUAAAGUCGUGUGACACCACACCCAGCAGAGUCCUUUUUCUAUUAGCUGUAAUCAUUGGGAAAUCUCACCCACUCCAUGGAAGUUGUCAUACACUAAAAUAUAUGAAAUAGCACAAUUAACUCCCAUGUACCCAUU
ensembl:antisense H3f3aos H3 histone, family 3A, opposite strand